UACGUGCCAGCAGCCGCGGUAAUACGGAGGAUGCGAGCGUUAUCCGGAUUUAUUGGGUUUAAAGGGUGCGUAGGUGGCCUGUUAAGUCAGCGGUGAAAUCUAGGAGCUUAACUCCUAAAUUGCCAUUGAUACUGGCGGGCUUGAGUGUAGAUGAGGUAGGCGGAAUGCGUGGUGUAGCGGUGGAAUGCAUAGAUAUCACGCAGAACUCCGAUUGCGAAGGCAGCUUACUAAGGUACAACUGACGCUGAAGCACGAAAGCGUGGGUAUCAAACAGGAUUAGAUACCCUGGUAGUCCACGCAGUAAACGAUGAUAACUGGGCGUAUGCGAUAUACAGUAUGCUCCUAAGCGAAAGCGUUAAGUUAUCCACCUGGGGAGUACGCCGGCAACGGUGAAACUCAAAGGAAUUGACGGGGGCCCGCACAAGCGGAGGAACAUGUGGUUUAAUUCGAUGAUACGCGAGGAACCUUACCCGGGAUUGAA
rnacentral:rRNA from 1 species